rnacentral:rRNA from 1 species
GGACGGUAGCACAGAGGAGCUUGCUCCUUGGGUGACGAGUGGCGGACGGGUGAGUAAUGUCUGGGGAUCUGCCCGAUAGAGGGGGAUAACCACUGGAAACGGUGGCUAAUACCGCAUAACGUCGCAAGACCAAAGAGGGGGACCUUCGGGCCUCUCACUAUCGGAUGAACCCAGAUGGGAUUAGCUAGUAGGCGGGGUAAUGGCCCACCUAGGCGACGAUCCCUAGCUGGUCUGAGAGGAUGACCAGCCACACUGGAACUGAGACACGGUCCAGACUCCUACGGGAGGCAGCAGUGGGGAAUAUUGCACAAUGGGCGCAAGCCUGAUGCAGCCAUGCCGCGUGUAUGAAGAAGGCCUUCGGGUUGUAAAGUACUUUCAGCGGGGAGGAAGGCGAUGCGGUUAAUAACCGCGUCGAUUGACGUUACCCGCAGAAGAAGCACCGGCUAACUCCGUG